rnacentral:rRNA from 1 species
AAUGAACGCUGGCGGCGCGCCUAAUACAUGCAAGUCGAGCGAGAAGACGUAGCAAUACGUUUGUAAAGCGGCGAACGGGUGAGGAAUACAUGGGUAACCUACCCUCGAGUGGGGAAUAACUAGCCGAAAGGUUAGCUAAUACCGCGUACGCUCCUUGGACUUCGGUUCAGGGAGGAAAGCGAUACCGUGGGUAUCGCGCUCUUGGAUGGGCUCAUGUCCUAUCAGCUUGUUGGGAGGUAACGGCUCACCAAGGCUUCGACGGGUAGCUGGUCUGAGAGGACAAUCAGCCACACUGGCACUGCGACACGGGCCAGACUCCUACGGGAGGCAGCAGUAAGGAAUAUUGCGCAAUGGGCGAAAGCCUGACGCAGCGACGCCGCGUGGGGGAUGAAGGUCUUCGGAUUGUAA